GUGAUGGCGAGCACGACUGCGACGACCAGUCGGAUGAGAAAAACUGCACCACGUCCAUGUGCACGGCUGACCAGUUCCGGUGUGGAACUGGACGUUGUGUCCGGUUGUCAUGGAGAUGUGAUGGUGAAGAUGACUGCUCGGAUCGCAGUGAUGAAGAGGGCUGUGAGAAAACUGAGAGUCCUCCAUGUGCUCCUGACCAGUUUCAGUGUGGGAAUGGACGCUGUAUUGGUCAGAGGAAGGUGUGUAACGAGGUUAAUGA